UAAAAACAAACAAAAAAGUUUCCGAGUACGGGAAACUCCGUACCGCGAAAGAGAUGAAUGAUAUUUUUUCUCUCUCACACAAAAUCAAAGGUUUCCCAAAAAAGUUUCCUAGUGUGGACCGGAAGAUACCAAUUUUCGAUCGUUACGUAACUAAAUGGAGAAAAGAAUCGAAAUGCAGAAUAAGGGUGUUAGCGCCACAAUGCCCGAAGCUGUAAUGAAGAUUUACACACUAUAUUGGCAGAGAAGAACUUUAUGCUCU